GUGCCAGCAGCCGCGGUAAUACAGAGGGUGCGAGCGUUGUUCGGAAUUAUUGGGCGUAAAGCGCAUGUAGGCGGUCUGUUAAGUCGCGUGUGAAAUCUUCCGGCUCAACCGGAAAAGUGCGCGCGAAACUGGCGGACUUGAGUGCCGGAGAGGGUGGCGGAAUUCCCGGUGUAGAGGUGAAAUUCGUAGAUAUCGGGAGGAACACCAGAGGCGAAGGCGGCCACCUGGACGGACACUGACGCUGAGACGCGAAAGCGUGGGGAGCAAACAGGAUUAGAUACCCUGGUAGUCC
rnacentral:rRNA from 1 species